rnacentral:rRNA from 1 species
UACAGAGGUCCCGAGCGUUGUUCGGAUUUAUUGGGCGUAAAGGGUGCGUAGGCGGCGGAGUAAGUUGGGUGUGAAAUCCCGGGGCUCAACCUCGGGAUUGCAUUCAAUACUGCUUCGCUCGAGUACUGGAGAGGAGGCUGGAAUUUACGGUGUAGCAGUGAAAUGCGUAGAUAUCGUAAGGAAGGCCGGUGGCGAAAGCGAGCCUCUGGACAGUUACUGACGCUGAUGCACGAAGGCCAGGGGAGCAAACGGG